UACGUAGGGGGCAAGCGUUGUCCGGAAUUAUUGGGCGUAAAGAGCGUGUAGGCGGUCCGGUAAGUCAGCUGUGAAAGUCAAGGGCUCAACCCUUGAAUGCCGGUUGAUACUGUCGGGCUAGAGUCCGGAAGAGGCGAGUGGAAUUCCCGGUGUAGCGGUGAAAUGCGCAGAUAUCGGGAGGAACACCAAUGGCGAAGGCAGCUCGCUGGGACGGUACUGACGCUGAGACGCGAAAGCGUGGGGAGCAAACAGGAUUAGAUACCCUGGUAGUCCACGCCGUAAACGAUGGGCACUAGGUGUUGGGGGUGUCGACUCCCCCGGCGCCGUAGCUAACGCAUUAAGUGCCCCGCCUGGGGAGUACGGCCGCAAGGCUAAA
rnacentral:rRNA from 1 species